GAUGAACGCUGGCGGCGUGCCUAAUACAUGCAAGUCGAGCGAACAGACGAGGAGCUUGCUCCUUUGACGUUAGCGGCGGACGGGUGAGUAACACGUGGGUAACCUACCUAUAAGACUGGGAUAACUUCGGGAAACCGGAGCUAAUACCGGAUAAUAUUUCGAACCGCAUGGUUCGAUAGUGAAAGAUGGCUUUGCUAUCACUUAUAGAUGGACCUGCGCCGUAUUAGCUAGUUGGUAAGGUAACGGCUUACCAAGGCAACGAUACGUAGCCGACCUGAGAGGGUGAUCGGCCACACUGGAACUGAGACACGGUCCAGACUCCUACGGGAGGCAGCAGUAGGGAAUCUUCCGCAAUGGGCGAAAGCCUGACGGAGCAACGCCGCGUGAGUGAUGAAGGUCUUCGGAUCGUAAAACUCUGUUAUUAGGGAAGAAGAAACGUGUAAGUAACUGUGCACGUCUUGACGGUACCUAAUCAGAAAGCCACGGCUAACUACGUG
rnacentral:rRNA from 1 species